GAUCCCUACGGGAGGCAGCAGUGAGGAAUAUUGGUCAAUGGGCGGGAGCCUGAACCAGCCAAGUCGCGUGAAGGAAGAAGGCUUUCGGGUUGUAAACUUCUUUUCUCAGGGACGAAGAAAGUGACGGUACCUGAGGAAUAAGCCACGGCUAACUACGUGCCGGCAGCCGCGGUAAUACGUAGGUGGCAAGCGUUAUCCGGAUUUAUUGGGUGUAAAGGGCGUGUAGGCGGGAGCGCAAGUCAGAUGUGAAAACUCAGGGCUCAACCCUGAGCCUGCAUUUGAAACUGUGUUUCUUGAGUGCUGGG
rnacentral:rRNA from 1 species